rnacentral:rRNA from 1 species
AACGAACGCUGGCGGCAUGCCUAACACAUGCAAGUCGAACGAGGCCUUCGUGUCUAGUGGCGCACGGGUGCGUAACGCGUGGAAACCUGCCCUUAGGUUCGGAAUAACUCCCCGAAAGGGGUGCUAAUACCGGAUAAUGUCGUCGGACCAAAGAUUUAUCGCCUAUGGAUGGGCCCGCGUUGGAUUAGCUAGUUGGUAGGGUAAAAGCCUACCAAGGCGACGAUCCAUAGCUGGUCUGAGAGGAUGAUCAGCCACACUGGGACUGAGACACGGCCCAGACUCCUACGGGAGGCAGCAGUGGGGAAUAUUGGACAAUGGGCGACAGCCUGAUCCAGCAAUGCCGCGUGAGUGAUGAAGGCCUUAGGGUUGUAAAGCUCUUUUACCCGGGAUGAUAAUGACAGUACCGGGAGAAUAAGCUCCGGCUAACUCCGUG